GCCGCGGUCGCCUAGCCUGGUUAGGGCGGAGGGUUGCUAACCCUCUGGGGGAAACCCCACGUGGGUUCAAAUCCCACCCGCGGCGCCA
rnacentral:tRNA from 1 species